rnacentral:rRNA from 1 species
CCCUUAGAUGUUCUGGGCCGCACGCGCGCUACACUGAUGCAUUCAACGAGCCUAUCCUUGACCGACAGGUCCGGGUAAUCUUUGAAUCUGCAUCGUGACGGGGAUAGAUUAUUGCAAUUAUUAAUCUUCAACGAGGAAUGCCUAGUAGGCGCAAGUCAUCAGCUUGCGUCGAUUACGUCCCUGCCCUUUGUACACACCGCCCGUCGCUCCUACCGAUUGAAUGUUCCGGUGAGCUCUUCGGACUGCGCGGUCUGCAGUUUCUGCGUUCCGUGCGGAAAGUUGCGCAAACCUUAACAUUUAGAGGAAGGUGAAGUCGUAACA